rnacentral:rRNA from 1 species
AAAGUCGUAACAAGGUUUCCGUAGGUGAACCUGCGGAAGGAUCAUUACCACACCGAUCCAAGCUUUGGUCGCUCUUGGAGCAAGUAAUGCAGUGCAUGCGCUGUGUUCAUGAUUCUUUUGAGUAUGAUUCUUUUGAGUGAUUCUUUUGAGUGAUUCUUUUGAGUAUUGAUUCUGAGGGCUUUUGAUUCUUUUGAGUGAUUCUUUUGAGUAUGAUUCUUUUGAGUAUAAACCCUUUUGUUUAGCCUGGUUCUGUGUCCUUCGGGAUGUGGAGUUGGGUUUUUCAAAAACUAACCGGAAAGACAAACAUAUCUAAGUCCCGCGAAGCCAAGCGGUUAUGGCGAAAGUACAACUUUCAGCAACGGAUGUCUAGGGUCUCGCAUCGAUGAAGAACGCAGCGAAAUGUGAUACGUAAUGCGAAUUGCAAAGCUUUGUGAAUCAUUGAAAUUUUGAACGCAUAUUGCGCUUGCAGGAUUUUUCCUGGGAGCAUGCAUGUCUGAGUGUCAGCAAACACCACUCAGCGCCUUUGCUUGCAAGGGUUGCUGGAUUCUUGCAUUGGUUUAUGAAAAUAAACACUGUGCAUAAGUGUAGACAAGAGGAUUUCAGAGUAGGUUAUCGAGCCGCGUGAUUUCUAUUUCUGUAUGUUCGCUUCUGUGUUCAUAUGAAAAUUGGGGUCGCAAAGUGUUGACGUAAUUAUUUCUCAGUUAUCGGCUUGAUGGGGAAAUUUAUUUCUCCAAAAUUUUUUACUGCGACGCAAGUUGUGGUGAAGAAUUUGCUUUCAUCUCUGAUCUCAGAUCAUGUAAGAAAACCCGCUGAAUUUAAGCAUAUCAAUAA